rnacentral:misc_RNA from 1 species
GCAUGCCAAGUAAUGUUUGCUGUGUUGUUGUUGAAUAUUGUCCUGGUGGUGCUUUGAAAUCUUACCUCAUAAAGAACAGAAGAAGGAAGCUGGCAUUUAAAGUAGUAAUUCAACUGGCACUAGAUCUUGCACGAGGGUUGAGUUAUCUCCAUUCUAAGAAGAUUGUCCAUAGAGAUGUUAAAACAGAAAAUAUGCUUCUGGACAAGACACGUACAGUGAAAAUAGCCGACUUUGGUGUUGCUCGCCUGGAAGCAUCAAAUCCUAAGGAAAUGACUGGAGAGACUGGAACACUUGGCUACAUGGCACCUGAGGUUCUCAACGGCAAACCAUAUAAUCGAAAAUGCGAUGUGUACAGUUUUGGAAUUUGCCU